GCCCGCACAAGCGGUGGAGCAUGUGGUUUAAUUNGACGCAACGCGCAGAACCUUACCAGCCCUUGACAUGUCCAGGACCGGUCGCAGAGAUGUGACCUUCUCUUCGGAGCCUGGAGCACAGGUGCUGCAUGGCUGUCGUCAGCUCGUGUCGUGAGAUGUUGGGUUAAGUCCCGCAACGAGCGCAACCCCCGUCCUUAGUUGCUACCAUUUAGUUGAGCACUCUAAGGAGACUGCCGGUGAUAAGCCGCGAGGAAGGUGGGGAUGACGUCAAGUCCUCAUGGCCCUUACGGGCUGGGCUACACACGUGCUACAGUGGCGGUGACAAUGGGAUGUUAAGGGGCGACCCCUCGCAAAUCUCAAAAAGCCGUCUCAGUUCGGAUUGGGCUCUGCAACUCGAGCCCAUGAAGUUGGAAUCGCUAGUAAUCGUGGAUCAGCAUGCCACGGUGAAUACGUUCCCGGGCCUUGUACACACCGCCCGUCACACCAUGGGAGUUGGUUUUACCUGAAGGUAGUGCGCUAACCCGCAAGGGAGGCAGCUAACCACGGUAGGGUCAGCGACUGGGGUGAAGUCGUAACAAGGUAGCCGUAGGGGAACCUGCGGCUGGAUCACCUCCUU
rnacentral:rRNA from 1 species